rnacentral:rRNA from 1 species
AUUGAACGCUGGCGGCAGGCCUAACACAUGCAAGUCGAACGGUAACAGGAAACAGCUUGCUGCUUCGCUGACGAGUGGCGGACGGGUGAGUCAUGUCUGGGAAACUGCCUGAUGGAGAGGGAUAACUACUGGAAACGGUCGCUAAUACCGCAUAACGUCGCAAGACCCACGAGGGGGACCUUCGGGCCUCUUGCCAUCGGAUGUGCCCAGAUGGGAUUAGCUAGUAGGUGGGGUAACGGCUCACCUAGGCGACGAUCCCUAGCUGGUCUGAGAGGAUGACCAGCCACACUGGAACUGAGACACGGUCCAGACUCCUACGGGAGGCAGCAGUGGGGAAUAUUGCACAAUGGGCGCAAGCCUGAUGCAGCCAUGCCGCGUGUAUGAAGAAGGCCUUCGGGUUGUAAAGUACUUUCAGCGGGGAGGAAGGGAGUAAAGUCAAUACCUUUGCUCAUUGACGUUACCCGCAGAAGAAGCACCGGCUAACUCCGUGCCAGCAGCCGCAGUAA